rnacentral:misc_RNA from 1 species
UCCGGUUUGUCACCGGCAGUCUCAUUAGAGUGCUCAACUGAAUGUAGCAACUAAUGACAAGGGUUGCGCUCGUUGCGGGACUUAACCCAACAUCUCACGACACGAGCUGACGACAGCCAUGCAGCACCUGUGUACGAGCCCCGAAGGGGGGCCCUGCUUUCGCAGGGCUUGCUCGUGCAUGUCAAGCCCAGGUAAGGUUCUUCGCGUUGCGUCGAAUUAAACCACAUGCUCCACCGCUUGUGCGGGCCCCCGUCAAUUCCUUUGAGUUUCAGCCUUGCGGCCGUACUCCCCAGGCGGGGCACUUAAUGCGUUAGCGCCGGCACCCAGGGGGUCGCUCCCCCAGGCACCUAGUGCCCAUCGUUUACGGCGUGGACUAC